UUAGAGUUUGAUCAUGGCUCAGGACGAACGCUGGCGGCGUGCCUAAUACAUGCAAGUCGAACGCGUCAUGGUUAAUGAUGUUAGGUGCUUGCAUUUAACUGAUUUAACAUUGAGAUGAGUGGCGAACUGGUGAGUAACACGUGGGUAACCUGCCCUGAAGUGGGGGAUAACACUUGGAAACAGGUGCUAAUACCGCAUAACAACGAAAACCACAUGGUUUUCGUUUGAAAGAUGGCUUCGGCUGUCACUUUUGGAUGGACCCGCGGCGUAUUAGCUUGUUGGUGAGGUAACGGCUCACCAAGGCCAUGAUACGUAGCCGACCUGAGAGGGUAAUCGGCCACAUUGGGACUGAGACACGGCCCAAACUCCUACGGGAGGCAGCAGUAGGGAAUCUUCCACAAUGGACGAAAGUCUGAUGGAGCAACGCCGCGUGAGUGAUGAAGGGUUUCGGCUCGUAAAACUCUGUUGUUGGAGAAGAACAGGUGAUAGAGUAACUGUUAUCAUCUUGACGGUAUCCAACCAGAAAGCCACGGCUAACUACGUGCCAGCAGCCGCGGUAAUACGUAGGUGGCAAGCGUUGUCCGGAUUUAUUGGGCGUAAAGCGAGCGCAGGCGGUUUUUUAGGUCUGAUGUGAAAGCCUUCGGCUUAACCGGAGAAGGGCAUCGGAAACCGGGAGACUUGAGUGCAGAAGAGGACAGUGGAACUCCAUGUGUAGCGGUGAAAUGCGUAGAUAUAUGGAAGAACACCAGUGGCGAAGGCGGCUGUCUGGUCUGUAACUGACGCUGAGGCUCGAAAGCAUGGGUAGCGAACAGGAUUAGAUACCCUGGUAGUCCAUGCCGUAAACGAUGAGUGCUAAGUGUUGGAGGGUUUCCGCCCUUCAGUGCUGCAGCUAACGCAUUAAGCACUCCGCCUGGGGAGUACGACCGCAAGGUUGAACUCAAAAGGAAUUGACGGGGGCCCGCACAAGCGGUGGAGCAUGUGGUUUAAUUCGAUGCUACGCGAAGAACCCUACCAGGUCUUGACAUCUUCUGCUAACCUAAGAAGAUUAGGCGUUCCCUUCGGGGACGGAAUGA
rnacentral:rRNA from 1 species